UACGUAGGGCGCAAGCGUUGUCCGGAAUUAUUGGGCGUAAAGAGCUCGUAGGCGGCUUGUCACGUCGGGUGUGAAAGCCCGGGGCUUAACCCCGGGUCUGCAUUCGAUACGGGCAGGCUAGAGUGUGGUAGGGGAGAUCGGAAUUCCUGGUGUAGCGGUGAAAUGCGCAGAUAUCAGGAGGAACACCGGUGGCGAAGGCGGCACUCUGGGCCGGUACUGACGCUGAGGAGCGAAAGCGUGGGGAGCGAACAGG
rnacentral:rRNA from 1 species